rnacentral:rRNA from 1 species
ACGGCUCAGUAACACGUGGAUAACGUGCCCUUUGGUGGAGGAUAAUCUCGGGAAAUUGAGAAUAAUACUCCAUAGAUCAUGAGAUACUGAAUGACCCAUGGUCCAAAGUUCCGGCGCCAAAGGAUCGGUCUGCGGCCUAUCAGGUAGUAGUGGGUGUAACGUACCUACUAGCCUAUGACGGGUAUGGGCCUUGAGAGAGGGAGCCCAGAGUUGGAUUCUGAGACACGAAUCCAGGCCCUACGGGGCGCAGCAGUCGCGAAAACUUCACACUGGGGGCAACCCCGAUGAGGGAAUUCCUAGUGCUAGCACAUUAGUGUUAGCUUUUCUUCAGCAUAGAUAACUGGAGGAAUAAGGGCUGGGUAAGACGGGUGCCAGCCGCCGCGGUAAUACCUGCAGCCCAAGUGGUGGUCGAUAUUAUUGAGUCUAAAACGUUCGUAGCCGGUUUAAUAAAUCCUUGGGUAAAUCGGGGGGCUUAACCUUCCGAAUUCCGAGGAGACUGUUAAACUUGGGACCGGGAGAGGCAAGAGGUACUUCUGGGGUAGGGGUAAAAUCCUGUAAUCCUAGAAGGACCACCGGUGGCGAAGGCGUCUUGCUAGAACGGAUCCGACGGUGAGGGACGAAGCCCUGGGGCGCAAACGGGAUUAGAUACCCCGGUAGUCCAGGGUGUAAACGCUGCAGACUUGGUGUUGGAGGCCCUUCGGGGGCAUUCAGUGCCGGAGAGAAGUUGUCAAGUCUGCUACUUGGGGAGUACGUCCGCAAGGAUGAAACUUAAAGGAAUUGGCGGGGGAG